rnacentral:lncRNA from 10 species
GGGUGUGGUACCGAGGCUUCAGCGGGUGCCGCCCGCCUAGAGGGAGUGGAGCGAGAGCCUACGACUAGAUUUGCAUCUUUACGUCCUGCGCGGAGGCUGCUACACACAUGCAGAAGUCAUGCUGGUGGCCUGGACAGUGAAGGGAGAGAAGUGGAUUUGGGAGACAUUUAGGAGGAACAGUAAGAGGACCUUGUGCAUGAAUAAUUUGUUUCCACACUACAGAGUGGGUAAUAAGCAGAUUAGUAAAAACAAUUCUGCUUCACUUCAA